UAAAUUACAAUUUCGUGGAAUUUAUAUUAGAUACCAAUACUCGCGUGAUUAGAUACACGGGCUGAAAGUGAUUUUUGAAGACAGGCUUGCUCAUCAAAACGUCCCAUACGAAAUAUGGAAAUAUACCUUCUGUUUCAAAUUUUCGUGUUUUUAUUCUCGAUUGGCUACAGAAUCUGCCAACCAGUAUCCAAAGCACCGGUAGUGAGUACAUAGGAAGUAAUAAUAGAAGAGGCUCCAAAACCCCCGGUACCACUAUUGGAUCAAUGUCUAACACAGAUCAAAGAGUCACCAGACACGGAUGUGACAAAACUGAGUCAAUACAAGCUGGGUUUAUUGCAUGGCUGCAUGAAUUCGAAAUUUGGGCACUUGGAGAAAGACACGAGGGUGUUAGAAGACGAAAAGAAUUUUUUGGAGCAGCAAGUAAUGGAAGUAGAAAUGCGAGAAAUGCCGUUAAUGCCGGAAAUACCAACAUAUAUUUGAGACCAGUAAGCAUCUUUUUCCUGUGUAUAGGCUGAUGGAGGUCCGAAAAGUGAAAUUCCCAAGAAGCAACGAGGCCACGAGAAAAUAUUAUCAACCCCUAGACGCUGCGGUUUCACGUAGUCGAGAAAUGUAUAUUAUACAGAAAUGGCGUACCUUAACUGUGAGAUCCAAAUUAUCCACUCACAAAUGGGGCAGCCCGAGGAAAAGGUCUCCAGAAGUUGUUGAAGCAGUAAAACAAUUUUGCGGCAUUGAAAUGGUUAAAACAAACCAAAAAAAGUAAAAUAAAAGUACAUAAUAUGAAAUGCAUGGAACGAUAUAUGUCACACGAUAUUUGAUAUUAUCAACAUUUCGACCAAAAUUUUAAGGCUUGGAAUCACGAUGGUUUUACGAUUCUCGUCACAAAAACUUCAUAGAUCUUCUUCCUGACUUUUUCUACUCCUCGUCUACUUAUUUCUGCAUUUUUCUUUUUAUUUAUUGUUUUUUAAUGUCUGUAUUGUUAUGCAUGACAAAUUAUUACUAAUUGUAUACUUCCUAUCCGUCUCAAAUCGAAUUACCAUUUCCGGUUAUUCUUCGUGUGGUUUCAUUUUUAUUGAUUUUUUAUAACAAAUUUUUAUUCGUUUUCAAUUGUUUUUUCUCAGAUUUUUUCUUUCUCGUAUUUUGAACAUGCGAUAUUUUUUACAUAGCGUAGGUACGAUUUUUUCAUAAAUUUAGUAAUUUUGUUAUUAUUUCGUUUUUUUAUUUUUCCAACUCCUAAAUUAUUUUGCUUCUGGUCAAUUUUUUUCAAUUUUUUAUACGUAUUUCAUUUUAUUGUGUAUGAUUAGUUACGAUUUUCAAUUAGAUAAGCCUAUCAUAUAUUUUUCAAUUAAAUUUCUUCGAUUUUUUCGUGUUUUAA